AACUGUCCCCUUCCCGAGAGCAAGUUUGGUUCCAGGAGCAGAUCUGGAGUCUGGGAGCACUUCCGGUCACUCCUGGACUGCUCGAAUCCAACACGUUGACUUCAAAAAUGAGUUGAGCAGAGGGAAGAAUCGGAAGAACCUGGACACCAGCUACUCUUUGGGCACAGUUGGAAAACGCAGCGCUCUAACGUGCUGCAAGAGAAUGGGGGUGGCACCAGCGUCCUGUCUGCAGAGUCCCUAAAGUGGUAUGCUUACACUGUGGCUGGACCAGCAGCAGCAGCAAGAAUCCCACCAACCAGGGCACCAGCUGCCUCCUAACACCUGAAGAGGUUCCAUGGCCACCUGCUCAAGACCCAUGUCUCAGAGACCACCUUGACCCACUCUUCAGGCAUCCAAGGGCCACUGAUCAUGGAGUUAUCUGGCACUUACUCCUUUGACGACCUCAGUGAGAAGUUUUAUGACCCUCACUCAGCACCCCCACACACACAAAAAUCAUGUCUCAUUGCUGAAAUUAUUGCAUUUGGCCUUCAGCCAUAUUCUUUUGUAGACAAUGUUGGUUUUAAAAGUUUGCUCAAAUGCUUGAAACCUCAA